GAUGCUAAUACCGGAUAACAACACUAGACGCAUGUCUAGAGUUUGAAAGGUGGUUCUGCUAUCACUCUUGGAUGGACCUGCGGUGCAUUAGCUAGUUGGUAAGGUAACGGCUUACCAAGGCAAUGAUGCAUAGCCGAGUUGAGAGACUGAUCGGCCACAUUGGGACUGAGACACGGCCCAAACUCCUACGGGAGGCAGCAGUAGGGAAUCUUCCACAAUGGACGAAAGUCUGAUGGAGCAACGCCGCGUGAGUGAAGAAGGGUUUCGGCUCGUAAAGCUCUGUUGGUAGUGAAGAAAGAUAGAGGUAGUAACUGGCCUUUAUUUGACGGUAAUUACUUAGAAAGUCACGGCUAACUACGUGCCAGCAGCCGCGGUAAUACGUAGGUGGCAAGCGUUGUCCGGAUUUAUUGGGCGUAAAGCGAGUGCAGGCGGUUCAAUAAGUCUGAUGUGAGAGCCUUCGGCUCAACCGGAGAAUUGCAUCAGAAACUGUUGAACUUGAGUGCAGAAGAGGAGAGUGGAACUCCAUGUGUAGCGGUGGAAUGCGUAGAUAUAUGGAAGAACACCAGUGGCGAAGGCGGCUCUCUGGUCUGCAACUGACGCUGAGGCUCGAAAGCAUGGGUAGCGAACAGGAUUAGAUACCCUGGUAGUCCAUGCCGUAAACGA
rnacentral:rRNA from 1 species